CACGUAGGGCGCAAGCGUUGUCCGGAAUUAUUGGGCGUAAAGAGCUCGUAGGCGGCUUGUUGCGUCGACUGUGAAAACCCGUGGCUCAACCAUGUGGUCUGCAGUCGAUACGGGCAGGCUAGAAUUCGGUAGGGGAGACUGGAAUUCCUGGUGUAGCGGUGAAAUGCGCAGAUAUCAGGAGGAACACCGGUGGCGAAGGCGGGUCUCUGGGCCGAUAUUGACGCUGAGGAGCGAAAGCGUGGGGAGCGAACAGG
rnacentral:rRNA from 1 species